GAGCGGGAGCUUUGACUGGUACCCGGUCAGGGCGAUGUGGAGGUUUUGGCUGAACCUCUCCUGUCAGUAAGAGACUUGAGGCUGAGAGUCUUCCCCGAAGCGUUUGAGGCUCAUAUAUGAAGGCAAGCAGGAGGGAGACGCUUUUCUUAAAGCAAGACCGACAGCGCUAGCUGAAGGCAUUUCUUUCCUGCAGUGAAAGAGAGGAGCAGCGAACAAGCUUCCCCUCUAGGGAACGGCUCUUGGGGAGCAGGUACCGUCUGUUUUUAUCCAGACCAGUGGGAGCGAGCAAAGCCGGAGGCUCGCUCAUAGUCGCGGGGCAGGCGCAGCCUCGGCCGUUUGUACCGAGCUCCGCUUCCUUUCGCCAUAUCCCCUCCCAGCGCCUCUUCUGCCCGCGCACCGCCCUGCCUGCCCAGCCCGGCUUCAGCCCCUCUAGCGAUAUGGCUGAUUGAGGGAGGGGAGGCGGCGGCUGGGGUUUCAUUCGACGCCCACCAGGGGCUGAGCGAGCCUCCUUCAGUGCGCAAACUCGGGGCACCAGAUAAAAGCUGGGCUGGCAGCUGUUACCCUGCCUCGAUGGAGCCGCCACAAUCGGGUGACUGGAGAAGCAGUUAGCAGCAGAGCGCCAUAGACUAGCGUCCCCCCACACCUUGGGCAGAGAGAGUUUGGGGCUCUAAACAGCUGCUGCUGCGGCAGGAGGGAGCCGAGGGCGCUUGGCUGGGGCUGCUCGCUCGGGUUCUGCCUGUUGUUGCGCGAAAUGGCGGCUGGCGUCUUGAAUGAAAGAAAAGCUACUUGCAGAAGAAAAAGCUGUAGCCUCAAAAAGAUUAACUCACAAAACUGUGAGCACUGGAAAUAUGAUAAAGCUUCAAAUCAUUACCUAGUUUCACCAGGAAUUAAAAGUACAUAACCCUGGAAGUUCCAGUAGUAAAUCGAUACAGAGUAUUUUUAAAUACAUACCUGCAUCAUACAGCUGUUUGCUUCCUAGAAGAGAAGUAUUCCUAGCAGUUUGUUACAGUACCAAAUUUUAGUGUCAAAUAUAAGAUCUGUGGUUUUACUAUGAACACAAACUUCAAGAGAAUUUGUAUGAACUCUACUUCUUCAGUAAUUGUUCUUGAUAAACUAGGCCUUACGGCUUCAAGAGGCAAACAGGAAAGGAGGGUGUAGUCAAAUUUUUGGGCAGAUAAACUUCAAUAAAUUAAAUGUUUAAAAGGAAGAACAUAACUAGUACUUGUUCCUUCUCUUGGUGAUCACUCCAAUUAAGUGUUGCACUUCUGGUAAUGCGGUGGCAUGCCUUCCAAUGCUUAGAGAUAUUAGCCUGCUGUUUAAUGGGGAGCAUAUUCCUCUGAGGCCUAAGUUCAAGGCCCAGUCUAAAGACUCUAGUGCCUGUAUUAUGCCAUCUCUACAGAUGGAAAUAUUUCUGUGGUGGAAGUUCUUCCUUUUUUUCAGGCAAUGUAUUAGAUAAAUGGGAAUGUUUUUGAAAUAAAUACAAAACCUUUUCUUAAGCUUUCUAAAUGUGGAAUAGUGUGAAACAGUGCAUUACUCCUGUAUGUACUUUUUAAAUGUGCUACUUCAGAUCUGCUGUCUUUUUACCCUGCAGUGCCAGAGGAGAGCUCUGCAGGAAGUAAUUUCUCUCCCAUGUUUUAAUCUCUGCUAUUCUGGGUCCAGUCCUUGUACAGGAAGCAGUUUCUUCUGGUGGACUGUCUUCUGGUGCUGCUUGGGGGAAGGGGGAAGAGCUGAUAUUCUGGAAUAAGGGACUUCAAAGGGUUGCCUAAAUUUGUUAAAUCUCGUGUUGUAGAAUCAGAACAUCUAGAAAGGCCUACUUCAUAGGAUAAUCUGAAUAUGUUUCACUUUGUCAGUCUUUCCCAGCACAUUUCAUGAAAAUGUUUCCAGUGCCUUUGAGUUGUUAACUCUGGGCUCUAGUGAUUCUAGGACAUGAACUGGCACCUAAAGCAUUACCAGAGAUGCAACUCCUGCCUCAAUUUUAAGUCAGUCAUACUUCUGUCACUGAAUAAAGUUCUUGCUGGGAUAAAAAGGGCUAUAUAUUUUACUUAGAUAAGGUCCGUGUACUUUAUUUGAGAUAGUAAGAUUUUUUCAAGCAUUUUUAAAAUGAAAAUUUUCCUUAAUAGUGAACAGCAGCCAUGUAAACUAAUAUUAGACUCUGUGUGUGACUAUUUGCUAAAGGAAAAGCAUGUUUUCAGAGUGUGGUUUUUGGACUUCCAGACAGAUUACACAAGCUCAAGAAGGCCACAUCCUGUGCAGAAAACCAGCUCACAGAAAUGCCUAUUGUUCUUCAGGAUUAUAAGUCACUGUAUUUUCAGCCUGCCUUCUUUUUCAAAGAACUAUAUGGAAAAUACUAAUGCAAAGGAACCACAGCAGCUUAACAAGUGCUUGGUCUUGCCAGGUACUGAGCACUCCGCUGUUACUAAAAAGGAGGGGUGGGGGAUUAAAACAUUAGGCUCCCUGGCUAGAGAACAAAGGCAUUGUGUUGGUAAAAGCAGCUGAGAGUGUUUUAUUAGUUAUGUGGUGAAUCAAUUGAUAAUUGAUGUACUUUAAGCCUGAAAGUUGGUUCUAUGCAGCCAUGCCAGUAUUUAUUGUCUUUAGGGGUGGAAAAAAUGUUACAGGGUAUGCAGUUUGUUUCAAGCAUGGUGAAUUUUCCUUGACACUGCUUCAUCCCUGCUCAGUCAUUGUUGCAAAAAGACAGAAUGGGGUAUCUGAAUCUAAUACCCUACCAAAGAGGUAGGGUGGUUAGUGUUUCUAAAUCUCUAACCGUGCUUAUUGCUGAGUUGUGUGCCAUUCCACUUGCAAGUUAAUGGACCUAUCCAUAAAGAAGGGAGCUAUCAAGCCAAAAAUGUAAAACUUACUUGCUCUUCCUUUUUUGUUUCACCUACAUUAUCACUUGGAGCUUAUAUUUUAAAAAGCUGAGGUGCUAUUUUUCAUAUAUCCAUUUUCAAACCAGAAAAGAGUGUUUCAGUGUGAAUUUUAAAACACUUGUAUUAUAGUUUUCUUUUAAAAAGCAACAACUUACAUUUCUUACUAGAUUCAGUACCUAUUUAAGGCCAAAACAUUUGUUAUGGUAAUACAUAUGUAGCUAAGCACAAGGCUGCUAUGAGAGUAUUUGAGGCUGUAUCCUGCUUUUCUGCAGUGCUGUGAAAGGAACCACCUCCCUUUAGUCACUGCCAGUCUCCUGACCGUGCAGCAUUACCAAAACAUGUGGCCCAUAAAAUGGGAUUAUAGGGAAGGCAUUCAAGUAAACAGAAUUUCCUCAGGAUGAGAUUUGCUUUUUCACGCGGAGCUCCUGUGUGCUUUAGCCUGGUGCUGCAGCCUCGUUCCGUAGCCAUGGACAACUUCUCUUAGUGACCAUGAGGGUGUGAGAGCACCUAGGCCAUCCCUGUGUUUCAGUGAUAGUCUGCUCCUAGGCUGGCCAGCACAGUAGUCCCCUUCGCAGUCAGUGUUUUUUGAAGGAUGCACCUGAUUACAAGUUAAGGCAAAAUAAUAAUUUCUGUGUCUCUUCAGUCUGUAUGUAGCAAUAAAUGCCCAGUCCCAUGAUGUGGCUAUAGCUGCCAAAAAUCUGCAGUGAAUGUACAGCUGUAUCUGUCAUCAACUCUACAGUAUUGCUCAAGUGGCCUGGUGCUUUCAUGAAUUCCAUUCAAGGAUAAGUAGCUGCUUAAAGCUAAAAACCUCUAUGCUUCUACAAGCACACAGUUAUCUGGGUGGUUAAUAGUGUAUUUCUAUGAUUGCAUGGUCCUGUCCAGCCUGUUCUGUUGAAAGUACACAACUGGGGACAGGCUCAGUCUGCAGUUCGAGUUCUUCAUUGAGAUUAAAUCACAUCGUCAGCCUUGGUGAGGAGUGUUUCCAGACCUGCUCCCUGAUUCCAGCCCUGGCCUUGGUAAUUCAGGCUGUCAUUGCUGCUCCGCAGCAUUAUGCUGUGUGGGAAAUCAGGGUACAAAGCCUUCAGACUCGGGUUCCUUUCACCAUGUCUCAUACUUUUAAAAAACUCAACUCAGAUGGCUUUUGUCCUUCUACCUUUCCAGUGGAUGCUUGUCACCAGGGGAACAGUUCAGUCAGUGUCCCCUUGUGCUGGUAGCAAGGCUUCAGGUGCUGAUGGCCUUGUCAUGGCCUCCUAGAGGUGCUGCUGUGUACCACAGCAUGGAGGCUUUCAUCCACAGGGAAAGCCACAAUUGUAAAUAUUCUCCUUAAAAAACAGGAAUUCAUAAAUUCAUGUGGCUGUGUUCCAGACUGUCCAGUGUUAGUCACACUGUUUGUGCUACUGGGUGUUAGGGAUCUCUAUCAUACUCCUCACUAUGGGAUGGGACACUGCCUGGUGCCUUUGAGGCAGCAUAGCCUUACUUUUAUUGUCAUUACCUUUCUUUAGAGGCAACUCUGAACAGAAGGUGAUAAACUUCUCGUAAUUGGUCUUGGUAUUUGAACAAAUAGCAACACUGGGAAUUUUCAGUUAUCUGAAGAAACAUAGGCCAGAAACUCUCCUUUUUUUGUUUCUGCACCUGGUACAAAGAAGUAGAAAGAACAGCCCUGGGAACGGGGGCACCAACACGGUUCCUGCCGCUGUCAAAAGCAGCAAAUUCAUUCAUUUGUGUACCCCCCAUUGUAACUGAAGCAAAGAAUUGUUGCUGUGGGUUCUAAAUCAGCGGUCGCUAUUCUCUGGUUGGUUGGUUUCUUUUCAAAGCAUUUACAAUGGGGACCACAUUUACAAAAUUAAGGGGGGUAAAUUCAAGGCCUGUAGCUCAUAUCACAAGUAACUGCACUCAGGAGUAAUGUCAUUGUCACAGCUGUACACAGCUUCCGUUUCUAGAGGGUCCAGUUCUCUGCCCUGGUCUAUAGGGCGGGUGUAAAUGAGAGCAAGCAAGCCACCUUAAUUUGAUGGCAGUCUGCUGAUGAGACUAGUGGUUAUUAUAAGACUGCUUAAUCCUCUUUAAGGUUGGGAUUUUUUGGAAGGUCUCUGAUUUCCAGGCAUAUUUUGUACAGAAGCUCAUUUAAAAGCUGGGGCUGAAUGAAUCCAUCGUAGUUGCUACAUAAAAUGGUGAUAUUUUAAUCAUAUUUCAACUGAAUGAGAGUUUAAAAAAUAGGAUUAUUAAAUCAAAUUUUCCAAAGCUUAAAGAGAUUCAUUAUAAACCUGGAGGUAUUAAAAAUAUAGGGUCUGAUGUUGAAUUAUGAGGGGAAGUAACGACACAUUUAAUUACUGUAUUUUCCAAACAUUAGGUAGAUUAUAUAGAUACAACAGCAGGGAAUGGAAAAUGUCUUGUGAAUAACAGCAACACCUGCUUGUAUUUCAUUUAAUUUCUGUGUGGGGUCUUUUAUGUUGUAGAAAAUACAUUUUACAAACAAGCUUUUGAUGGGAAUGAUACGUUAAGGCUGCAAUAUUUUGUAUUAUGCGUUUCAGAUUCUGUAUUGUAAAUCAAAGAAGUAGAGCCAUAUAUGCAUGACCUCGGGACCAAAAAUACUGCAAUUACUAAUGGUUUAAAUUAACAUGAUUUCUAUGGGAAACAGCUUUUAGAAACCUAGAAAAGUUGGAGUUGUGUUUGAUUAAGGACCUCUCAGAUGCUGCCCAGCACUGAAGCACUAGAUCUGGCUGCUGUGAGCUCCCCCAUCUGCCUUACCUGGUCAUCAGUCCCAUGGUAUUAAAACUGAAACCUGCGAAGUGGAGCAUACUAAGUGGAAUAAAUAUAAUUUCUGAGUUGUAGAGUUGUAAACUCCAGAGAGAUGUUUGUACAGGGGUCUUUACCAGUGCACUUCAGCCUGGUAAGUAACGUAGUGCAUCACUCAGUGAUUCAAACAAGCAGGUCGCAUACCCUGGUCCACGUGAGCUUCCUUCCCUCCCCAGUACACCCACGUACCAGCACUGACAGGCAGGGGAACUUGCAGUGAGCUGGAUCAGCAGAAAAAAACGAUUGAUGCCAGUGUGGCUCUGUGAAUGGCUUGUCGUGGUGUCAGAUGACUGUCAGUGCAAGGGAAGCAGGAGGGGGAACCUCCCAUUUUGACAAUAGUCAGUGAUGAGAUUGUCUUUAUGGUUUAAUGAAAUCAUAUCUGUAAGUUAUAUGCACAUCUAUAACUUUCUGGAAAGCCAUGGCUGUUGAAGGCAUCGAUUCCCCACAGCUGAGUGCCACUCCCUCUCCUGAGUGCUGCCGCUAGGUUUGUCAGCUGCUUGACACAGAGGCAGGUAGGGGACAUAAACUUGGCUGACUAUGACCCUCUAAGAGCUUUCUAGAAAUUUUUAAGAUUGAUGGAGAUAAGUUGUGUGGAUAAAGUGUGAUUCAGAUGACCCUGUUUAUAUGUUCACAUUAAUAUGAGAUGCAAUAGGUGACUGAGGGGACUAAAAAGUCUAGGCUCAGACUUGGGCAGCUGCAGUUAGACAGGUGAGCCAUGAUGAUGGAGACUGAAGACCUCAGUGCAAUUUUCUGGAAAAUAAAGGAAUCCACAUAGUAAAAAGACAAAUGCACAAAUGGCUAAUUAAGAUCAUUGGUAAUGAACUUGUAUAACUCAAAACACACAACCAAAAAACCAUGAGGGGGAGGCUUGCAAAUUCCAGCCUGUUUAUGUGGAUCAUCAGACUGGUGUCAAAGUACUGAAUUCAGUGUGUGGACUAGGGUAAGACAUUAGAAGGUCACCAUCACGGGGGGGGAGAGAAAAAGAAAACUUAAUUUUUCCCUGUAAACUUUAAAGGCCCUGAGCAGUGUUUUUACUGCCUACUGUUACAAGUGACAUCUAGAGAUUACUAAAACCGGAGGAAGUUAGAUGAACCAAACCUCUUCUCAUUUUCUGUUUAGUGCUGUCGUUAGUGUUCUUGACAGCACUUCAUAGAUAUUCACUUUCAGUGGUUUUUAUGCAUGGUUGCACUUCCUGUCUCAUAUUAACAUGAUGAUGUCAUUCUCGUGCACCACUGUGGGGAGAGCAUGGUGGUGUGCUUUGCCCGAACUGCAAGAAAGGCUUUCUCACUCCUACAGAAAGAUUUUGCUUCUGCUCUGAGGGCUAAAAUCCAAAAGGAGGGGCCCUUUUUUGAGCCUCCUCUGUAUGGAACUAGGAAGCAGAGUGGGAGGAAGAGGCAGUGGGAGAAGUACCUUCCUCAUGCCAUAUUCUGUAGAGAGCUACUUACAGGACUAUCCAUCUUCACCUAGUGUGGGUGAGCAGCUGGAGCCUGUAUAACCCUGUCUGUGCCUCCAUAGCCCUUACAGAGCUGUAGAAGGGAAGGAAGGGGUAGGGAAGCUGCUUAUCCCUAAAGCAAACAAAGCAAUGAAAAGGGAAUGGGAGCUGCAAAUAUGUCCCUGCUCCUCUGGCCAUCACCACGGGUCAUGGGAGGAGAGUACUGAGAAAGUCCCAUCUGCCCUGUGUCCCUUUCAUGGGCUGGGAGAGCAGCAGGCACUGACCUGGGGCUGCAGGGUUUGUUUCUCUGGUUCUACUGUGUGUCCCAAGAAGGCAGCAAGGGGAUGUUGCUGUAAUAGAGGGAGGAGUGUGGCUGCUAGGAGGGAGCAGGCAGCCCCAGCACCUCUGGGGAGCAGCCGGAGCCUGCUGCUCUUCCUGCCUCAUCAGAUCAUUUGGUGCGCACCAGGCCAGGCGCUGCUUUGCAGGCAGCAAAUAGGCAGAAAGCUUUAAAGUGAUAGAAAUCAGCAUGUUAAAAUGAACUUGGAAAAACUUCUAGAAGACUUUGUCCCCUUAAAUCUGUCUGAAAGGGGCUCUUCUAGCAUGAGUCAUCUGCAGCUGUAGAGGAACCCUGGGCAGAGCCUUCCUCCACUCUGCUGAAUGGAGCUGUCAGAGUGCCCGGAGCCAGGACAGGGAGAAAAAUACCCCGAUUCAUUUCCUAACGAGAUAUGCAUGGGAGAAUUCCCUACGGAGCCACCAGUGGGGGUUUGUGGCUUUGUGUUUUUCAGUCACUGGGCUCCACAUAAGCAACACUGUGCAGCUUUGAGCUCCCACAUGGAGGACCGAAACCCCCCAAACCUGUCCCCAGGAAGCAGACGAUAACGUUGCUGCAGAGGAAGUGGCUUCUGAUACAACCAACAAGCAAUUUGCCAAAGUCCACCGUUUGGGUGGUUGCCAGGCUAAAUUUGACAUAAAAUUAUUUAACCUUUUUGGCUUUUGUCUUACUGCUUUCUGGAGAUGUCUCUCCUGCUUCCUACCAUUUAAAUCUCACAUAUGGCAGGGUUUUUUUCUCCCCAGAAAAGUUAAUGCAGGCUUUUUUAGAAAACACAGAAUUGUUAACAGAGUAUCCACUCUAUUUAAUAGGUGAUUAAAAUAUUCUCAAAUACUCUUAGUAGGUUAGCAAAGCUGAAGCUAAACCAUAUGCAGCUAAGGGGUUGCUCAGGGCUUCAUCAUGCCCUUUCCCAUUCCACCUCGCUAUAAUCCAAAUUCCUAAUUGACAUAGGAAAUACAUUAUUGCAGAAAAGAUGGUAUGUUAAAGUCAGACUUCAGAUAUUCGAGGCAUCAGGCGCCCUCUUGUGCUCUUUCUCUGGGAGCGUCGCAAGGUGAGCAGCUUCCCAGGAGCAGAAGCUGAGCGACACUUUGGCCUCAGUUUGCAGGGAGGCCAGGGUGUGCUUUGGGCACCUACAUCGCGGUCCCACGUGGUUUUGAUGUGUAGGAGUUACUUGUUGAUGGGUCCACAAACUUCACUCCAGCUAUACAAUGUGACCAUGCAAAAUGAAGCUUUGGAUAGAAAAAAGUUACUUUUAUUUUCCAAAAGACAAGAAUAAGAUUUUUAAAAUCACUCAACAGCCCUCAUGGGCCUUUGGUGGCUUGCUGCCAAAAGAAAUAAAUUUCACUGUUUUAUAUGCUCAAAGUUGUUCAAAAGGCAUAAAUAUAUUAUUUUCCGGCCUGAUGCAAGGUCCUAAAUUUACUGAUACCUCUAAGAUGCAAACAGGACUGAGUGUAACAUGUGCAGUGAGCUCUUCCCCUUGCCAGCAUUUUUGUCUUCCCUUCUCUUUGGGGAUUAAAGGUAUUGCUUAUUUCAGGCUUAUUGACCCAGAGCAGUUUUAGACUGGGCUACCUGCCAUUCUGUGAUGGCAUUUCUAGCAAAAGAGCAGUUUCUAUCAGUGUACCUCUCAGCCUGAAAGCUCCUGAGGAUUGUGAUCGUUUUGUAGAGCAGUAACUAGAAUAUAAAAGAAGAAUGGUCGUACUGGGCCUAGCCGAGAUCCAUCUAGCUGAUACUGAUCCUGUCUUCAACAGACACUGUAAGUGGAUGCCUUGAUAAAAGCCUAAGAACAGAGCAGGUAUAAAUGCUUCUUCCUUUACGGGUCUCCCAGCCUCCAACCAUCUUCACAUCCUGAGCUGAAUAUGGGGGUUUGUACAUUUAGCAAGCCUUGACAAAUGACAUUUCCAAGGUUGUCCAGUCUUCCACUGACUAGUAAUAAACUUUAGCAUUCACAGGAUGCUUGUUGUGAUCUCUGUUGAGCACUGAGCUGAUACCAUAUGGAACUUCUAUCAUAACUUGAUUAUCUCACUGAGUACUAAUGGUCUGUGCUGACCACAUGUGAGCACGUAUAUGUGAAGUUAGAAUUGCUUUUCUGCCUAUGCAUCAUUUUACAUUUACCUGUACUGAAUUCUGUCUAUUUUAUUGCCCACUGACUGAUUCUUUGUGUGUCUGUCACCCCUCAUUCUCACCUACCUCAACUUACAUCAUCAGCAAAGUCUGUUGCUUUCUGGUUUGCCCCCUUUUUCCAGGUACACUGAACCAGAGAGCUCCAUCACAGAUCUCUGGGGAACUGCAGUGGUGAAUGAUGUCCAUCGUGAGCACUGACCAUCUUGUGUUCUGUUUCCCAUCUUCUAAUAGUUAUUUACCCCUCAAGGAUCUUACGUCUUAAGCCAUGGCUGCUUGGUUUCCUUUAAUAGUCUUUUGAGGGAUGUGGUUGAAAGCUUUCAAGAAACUCAGAUACACUUAACAACCAAACCAUCCUCGUCCUUGUGGUUGCUGAGCCCUUCUAAGAAGUCUCAUAGUGCUUGAUGCAGAUUUCCAUUUACAAAAAAAAUUAAAUUAAAAUCUGAGUUCUUCCAAAGUAUAUCAUGUUUGCUUAAUAAUUCUAUUCACAGAACCACAGAAUGGUAGGGGUUGGAAGGGACCUCUGGAGAUCAUCUUGUCCAACCCCCCUGCUUGAGCAGGCACACCCAGAGCAGGGGGCACAGGAACGCGUCCAGGUGGGGUGUGAAUGUCUCCAGGGAAGGGACCCCACAGCCUCCCUGGGCAGCCUGUGCCACUGCUCUGCCACCCGCACAGGAAAGGAUUUUUUUCUCCUGUUUAAGUGGAACUUCCUGUGUUCCAACCUGUGCCCAUUGACCCUUGUCCUGUCAUUGGGCACCACUGAAGAGAGUCCCAUCAUCCUGACAUCCACCCUUCAGAUACUUAGAAGUAUUGACAAGAUCCCCCCUCAGUCUUCUCUUGUCCAGGCUGAACAAACCCAGGUGUCUCAGCCUUUCCUCAUAAAGGAGGUGCUUCAGUCCCCUGAUCAUCUUGGUAGCUCUCUGCUAGACUAUAAUAUUCUGUAUUAUAAUUUCUACUACUUGAUCAUAGGUGAAGCUUUGUACAGAAAUAUGCCUCUGCUGAUAAUGGCAUGACUUUGGCAGUGUGACUGUGUUUUGUAGUACUUUUCAUGUUCUUCAUAGAAUGUCACAAAAACGUCACAGCAUGGUAUGUUUCUGUAGAGGGCAAGGAAUAUCUGUGAAGUGUUUUCAAACAAAAAAGAAAAUCCUGUGGAAGUGCACAGAAUUACUAUUGCUGUUUAAGUUAAACCUAAUAGGAGUUACCACUCAUCAUAACAACUGAGCAGGUACAACAAAAAAGGAUCAGAUCAGGGUUUUUUACAUAUUCUGAAGUUACCAAGAGUUACUUGCCUGUACCUGACAGCAUACUUGAAUUUGACCCAGUAAAGACUAGAAAUUCCUUUAGCCACAGGUAGAAUUUUUCAGGGUCUCGGCUGAAAACUUUCCACACUUGAGCAGGAGCAGUGUCAGGACACAGGGAUUGUUUCCAGCAGAGCAGCUCCAGCCCUUGGAAGUUUUCUGGGGGCCAUCUAUUACGAGUUAGCUACUUUGUUCAGUAUCAGGGACCAUCUCAUAACUGUACCUGAUACUCUCUGAAAAAUAAUCCAGACAGGCAUUUGGGAAUCUGCAGAGUACUAGAGGAGGGUCUGAAAAGUGCCUUUCUUUUGCCCAACAGAGUCUCUGUGCCUCCUUUUUCCUUUCAUGAGGAAGAUGGGGAAAGGCUCCAGGCAGAGAUGAAUAAAGGAAGUUUUUUCUGAGUAGUUGGGUCUUUAGCAAAGUACGGGGUGAAGCUCUUCAAAAGGUGGCACAACUUCACAUUUGUGGUUUGCAUAAGUGAAAUAGCUAAUGUAAAUUAAUUUAGAGACAAAUCUCCUUAGCAAAAUCAGCCAUUCCUGAGCACAGAAUGUUGUCAUUAAUAAUUUGAGCAAAGUGUGUGGUCAUUGUUGUUCUUUCGUUAAACCUACCUACUUUAAAAUAUCAACAAAAGGCUCCUUGUGUCUGCACAGCUUAACCUCAGUGUUUGAAAACCUGACAGUGCCAAGUUUGAUGCAGCUGCUGGUGAAAGAUAAUUUUCAGAUUUACUCCUAAAUUAUCCAAUGAAAGAAAGCAAAAUACGAGAAAGGGGAAAAAAAUCCUCAGACAAAUCCAGCAACUUGGGAGUAAAUUAUCCUCUUAAUUUUACUAAGCAUCUGAGUUACUGCUCAGUGAAUAAUGCAGUAACAGUUUCCAGAGGACUAGCAGGUAUAUUUUAAUGUUUUGAUAAAAAAAAGAAAUGCAUAUAUUAGCAUAGGCCUAUUAGGUCUGUGAAUUGUAUGCACUCUGUGUGUGUAAGAACUGAUGCUGCUGAGGUACAAGGACAGCAUAUACUUUGCAAAAGGCUGAAUCCAAAUUGACGCUUCGCAUCGCAUUCAGCUGCUCUUUCACAGUAAGUGUGAAAGUAUGCUUUUCCCUAUAAUAUCCAAUAGUACGUGUGAUAUAAUUUAAAAAGUAACAUGUCUUGCAUUACAGGAAGAAGGGAGGGGGCAGGUAAGAGUGUGUACACAGAUACUUCCUGCAGAGCUGCUGGCUUGUGGUUACUCACUUGUCCAUCCAUCCUUACUCAGCACUGCAGCAGUUAACUCCUGCCUUUUAAAAAUUGUUUAAAUUAAUAUAAAAUACUUUCCUAGACAUGUCCAGGGGCCAACUCUGAGCUCUGACUAUUGCUACGUUCUGCUCUUGCGUGCAAGAUUAUCUUUCCAGAUAAGCAUGAAUUGAGUGAAAUGAAUCUAUCAAUAAUCAGUGGAAAGGAUGUCAUAAUGUGAGGUCUGAUACUGUACAAAAAAAUACACACGUCCUCGAAAAUGUGUUUGGAAAGGAACUGCUUUAUUCUUGACAUAGCUGCAGGUCUGGCAGCAACAGCUCAUGAAGAGGUGUGGGAAUUAGCUGAUAGACUUCUUGUUGGCAAAGAGAGCUAGGAGGCUACCGAUACAGGACUGACUCCUCAUUUUUAAAUUCCUUUAGGUAAAGGAAGGUAAAUUAUUUUUCUUAGCUGAUGAAACACAUUGUGAGGCAAAGCCACAUUUGAGAAGGAAAAUGUAAAGCGUUUACUGGAAAUAAAAUUUUCGAGUCAAAUGGAAUAUGGUGUCAUGAGAAAUUUGUGAUUUCUUUUAGUUUGUCAUAAUCUUAGAUUAUCACAAUAAAUGUGGCUAAGAAGACAACGUAUGAACUGGGAGGUGGGGAAAGGAAGAGAUGGCUGAAGAUGAAACGUACAUUUUUAAUUACUUAACUGCUGAUUCUCUGAUUUGGAUCUACUUUUAAUUAAGUUAAACUAUUUUCAAUGGAAUUUUUCUUUGUAGCAUUUGCUGCCAUGCAGUGUAUGUGUGGUACCGUGCUGAGUCUAAGGAAGGGGCAAUCAGAAAUACUCCCUUGUCCUGUGAAUGCCACAGUCCCUGUAAGGGCACCCAUGACUAUUAACUGACACUUUUCCCAAAAACUACUUCCUUACAGCAUCAGUUAAAUGAAACUUAAAAAGCUAUCUAUAAUGGUGCCCUCUGGUGACUCCAAAAAUUUUUACACUAGAAUGAAAUAAAAAAAAGAUGGAAUUGGGCCUGUGUUAAAUUACCCUGGCAAGUUGGACUGUUCAUUAAAGAUUAAUGAACAAAUGAGAGCUCCUAGAGCUCAACCAGGCCAUAUACACAAGCUGCGCACAUACAGAAGUCCAGGACUAACUCCAAGUGUUGCAGGACCAGAGCCGUGAUGAGUAAGUCUCUCACCUUACCAAGCAAGUAAUCUCUUGUAUAUUCACAAUAAAAAGAAGCCUGCCUUUUGCCACUGCAAACUGAUAAUUUAUUUUUCUAGUCCCUAGAGAAAAGAAAAUCGAAAGAUGUCUUACUGAGUUGGUCUCAAAUAAACCAGCUGUGCAAAAGAAUGCCUUUUGUAUAUUCUGCAGUUGGUGUGGCUGCCACACAGUCUCUGGAAAGCUGAUCUCAAUGCACUGUUUCCUCCCCUGGAUAUUGCUUUUUAUAUGCCCAGUCUGUCCGCAGCAUCUGAAGUGUCUACAUUUACUGCUCAUCGUUUCCCACCAUACUGACAUACAUGACCUUCUUCAUUGCACUGACUCUAGUGCUCAAGUGGCUCUUACUCUGUUCUG